UACAGAGGUCUCAAGCGUUGUUCGGAUUCAUUGGGCGUAAAGGGUGCGUAGGCGGCAAGGCAAGUCAGGUGUGAAAUCCCGGAGCUCAACUCCGGAACUGCACUUGAUACUGCCCUGCUAGAGUACUGGAGAGGAGACUGGAAUUUACGGUGUAGCAGUGAAAUGCGUAGAUAUCGUAAGGAAGACCAGUGGCGAAGGCGGGGUCUCUGGACAGUUCCUGACACUGAGGCACGAAGGCCAGGGGAGCAAACGGG
rnacentral:rRNA from 1 species